UGGGGAAUUUUGGACAAUGGGGGAAACCCUGAUCCAGCCAUCCCGCGUGUGCGAUGAAGGCCUUCGGGUUGUAAAGCACUUUUGGCAGGAAAGAAACGUCAUGGGUUAAUACCCCGUGAAACUGACGGUACCUGCAGAAUAAGCACCGGCUAACUACGUGCCGGCAGCCGCGGUAAUACGUAGGGUGCAAGCGUUAAUCGGAAUUACUGGGCGUAAAGCGUGCGCAGGCGGUUCGGAAAGAAAGAUGUGAAAUCCCCGAGCUCAACUUUGGAACUGCAUUUUUAACUACCGGGCUAGAGUGUGUCAGAGGGAGGUGGAAUUCCGCGUGUAGCAGUGAAAUGCGUAGAUAUGCGGAGGAACACCGAUGGCGAAGGCAGCCUCCUGGGAUAACACUGACGCUCAUGCACGAAAGCGUGGGGAGCAAACAGG
rnacentral:rRNA from 1 species